GAUGAAGAACGUAGCGAAAUGCGAUACGUAAUGUGAAUUGCAGAAUUCAGUGAAUCAUCGAAUCUUUGAACGCAUAUUGCGCUCUUUGGUAUUCCGAAGAGCAUGCUCGUUUGAGUAUCAGUAAACACCUCAAAGCUUUUGGAUUUUUUAAUCGAAAAGCUUUGGACUUGAGCAAUCCCAACACCAAUCUUUUUGAGAUCGGUGGCGGGUUGCUUGAAAUGCAGGUGCAGCUGGACAUUCUCCUGAGCUAAAAGCAUAUUCAUUUAGUCCCGUCAAACGGAUUAUUACUUUUGCUGCAGCUAACAUAAAGGGAGUUUGACCGUAUUGGCUGACUGAUGCAGGAUUUCACAAGGGUCGGCAACGAUUCUUGUUAAACUCGAUCUCAAAUCAAGUAAGACUACCCGCUGAACUUAAGCAUAUCAAUAAGCGGAGGA
rnacentral:misc_RNA from 1 species